UCUCAAUGACUACUCAAUUUCCGACAGAGGCACAGUGGAAUUUAAUCACCAAUCUCUGGAUUGGAGGAGGAGCAACAAUAUCAGAGAUAAGGAAAUUUUAUUAUGGAAAACAGCAUUUAAUUUGAAAAACUAAAACCACAUAACAACCCUGCAUUUGUUGGCAACUACUGAUAAGGUCUUCGCUGCUCCCUUCUGUGGGGAUGACUGUUGCAGAACUUACUGCCAUUUUUCAGGUUAUUGCUGUCUGCAGGUGUUUUGGUGUGUUAUAAUUACAUAAAGUUUUCCAUUUUCCCAGGCUGUAACCUAAUAUGAAAUCCAGGUAAAC